rnacentral:lncRNA from 1 species
CAAGGAUGAACGUUUUCUGUCCUAACUGGCUGCCCCACUGCAAAUAGCGCCUCUCCCAUCACAGGAAGAACUCUGCUGUGCUCUCCCAGCCCAAACGCGAUUCUACAGCUGGUUGGGGCACAUCUUUGACCCGGAUCACCCGGGAGGGGCUGCCCAGUGAGACCACCACAUCACAUAA